GAUGAGCAUGCCAAUAUCCCAAAAAUUGAGAAGGCAGUUCUGCUAAAAGCGACUGAACAACAGAUAUCUCUCUACCUGCAAAUUCAAGCAAAACAAGAAACUAGAGAAGGUAGUUCUAGUUGAAAGAACAAGACUGAAAUCCAAUCAGAUGGACUUGGAAGAAUGCACAGAAUGACUGAUGACAAAAGAACACAUAUUAAAGCAAUUCAUGUAGCCUAUAUGGUUAUAUGCCUUUGUCAAAAGUGU